UACGUAGGGUGCAAGCGUUAAUCGGAAUUACUGGGCGUAAAGCGUGCGCAGGCGGUUGUGUAAGACAGAUGUGAAAUCCCCGGGCUCAACCUGGGAACUGCAUUUGUGACUGCACAGCUGGAGUGCGGCAGAGGGGGAUGGAAUUCCGCGUGUAGCAGUGAAAUGCGUAGAUAUGCGGAGGAACACCGAUGGCGAAGGCAACACCCUGGGCCUGCACUGACGCUCAUGCACGAAAGCGUGGGGAGCAAACAGG
rnacentral:rRNA from 1 species